rnacentral:misc_RNA from 1 species
AAAGAAAAGAAAAAAAAAAGUGGAUAUUUAUUUGUCACCAAUCUCUUUUAUUGGUGAAAAGCCUUUUUCAUUAAAAGAAGGGAUUAAUAUCAAAAAGAGAAAAGCUGGUAUACCACACCCACCUCUACUCGUUGCAUGGUAAAAUGGCCAUUUUCAGAGUUUUAAUGCAGUGGUUUUCAUGGUUGGUGAAGGGUAGCCUUGGAUUUAUUAGCUUCUUUUUUACGGCUUUUCUGCAUCGCUUUCAAGAUUUUUGUCCAGCAGCGUAUAUAUGGAACUUAGAGGUGUAUAAUAUUUCCUUUCAAAGAUCCUCAUUCUCUGUGAUUUUAUUUGUAUCGAACACAUACCCAACAACCACCAAUCUACGAUUCUCUGCUCUUUGCACCUCCUCGCUGCUUUGCUUGUGACGUUGUUUAACCUUCUUAAUGUAGGAUUAUGAAUUCAAAUCUUAAAUCAUUCUUGUUGUGAGAGUUUUACCUAAAUAUCACUCCUAAU